GACGAACCGAGCGAACGUUGUUCGGAAUCACUGGGCUUAAAGGGCGCGUAGGCGGGUGCUCAAGUCUGUGGUGAAAUCCUCCGGCUCAACCGGAGAACGGCCAUGGAUACUGGGUGUCUCGAGGGUGAUAGGGGUAUGCGGAACUAUCGGUGGAGCGGUGAAAUGCGUUGAUAUCGAUAGGAACUCCGGUGGCGAAGGCGGCAUACUGGACCACAUCUGACGCUGAGGCGCGAAAGCCAGGGGAGCAAACGGG
rnacentral:rRNA from 1 species